rnacentral:rRNA from 1 species
UACGUAGGGUGCGAGCGUUUGUCCGGAAUUAUUGGGCGUAAAGAGCUUGUAGGUGGUUUGUCGCGUCUGCUGUGAAAAUCCGAGGCUCAACCUCGGACUUGCAGUGGGUACGGGCAGACUAGAGUGUGGUAGGGGAGACUGGAAUUCCUGGUGUAGCGGUGGAAUGCGCAGAUAUCAGGAGGAACACCGAUGGCGAAGGCAGGUCUCUGG